ACAAUAAGAUAAGUUCUCCAUUAUUAACUAGUUUGUUUCUCUCCGUACUUAAGGAGUAGGAGAGAAGUACUGUUGAGUAAAAUGUUUCGUCCAGCCAAUGAGCGGCUUCCAAAUGGCGGAUUGUCCCACCCACCACCUCCAUCUCACUGGGCGGUGGCUGAGCAGCUAACCGAAUGAAAAGAGAGUAUUUGGUCAGAGGCGGCGCCAUUUUGCUCACCUCUUUUGAAAUCGAGACUCUGCAAGACCAGUCAGGACCCUCACCCUCACAGCCAGCAGAGAAAAGAUGAGAAAAGAGAGGAAGGCAGAGAGGAGGAGGUUUAUGAGGACUGACCAGCACAGAUAUUACUUAAUAAAGAGAUGAGAACAUCAUCCAAAAGCUGUUUCUCUAUGGAGCCAAUCUUCCGUUUCUAAAAAGUAAUCUCUGAAAAUAUCUCCACCAUCUCCUCCACAGGAAGAACACAAAAAUAUGUGAGAUAAACGACCUUCAUGGAGCAUGAAAGUUUAUCCAGAGGCUGGCAGCUGAGGAGAAUCCUGGGAAAGGUCAGAGAUCUUGGCGUUGUAGUCCCCACAGCGGGGGUUCGGGGUAGGAAGGGGCAAUAGCUCCUUGAGGUUGGCGGUUUGUGAGUGGGUGGGAGAAAAGCCCAAGGAGCUGGAUGGAGUCUUCAGAAAGAUGAUGGAGAACAGGUAUGACAGCAGCUCAGGCGAGAGAGCUGGGAGAACUGUUGACAAAACAAAACCGGCCGAUGACUUGGACACGAGGAAUGCUGGGAUCAGUGUCGAGUGUUGGGAGUGUGUGUUGGCUGGGAGGGAUCUGUCAGCGAGUCUCUCAUCACGCCAGAAGGACAGAAAUGUUAAGAGCUGGUUAAGAGAGUUUCCUGCCCUUCAAACACUGGAAAGCAGGAAAAGUAACGUCCAAUUCUGGUCAGGAGUUGUUUAGUCACCAUCAGGGAGUUUUUAGUUCCUCCAAAAAUGACAUUUUUAUCAGGUGUUCCUUUCACCUCAUUUACUUUUGAGGAAACCAACAAUAAAACCAAUCAGAAAAACUUUUUUUUUUUUUACAAACCUUCAUCAUUCAGUGACCGUGAUUGGGACAAACUCCAAAGUGUUCUGAUGAAUGAAGGUCUGGUAGGAGUUAAUAAAAAGCCUCAGACUUUAUGAGAAAACCCGGCAGCUAAAAUUUCUUGUUAAAUCUGUUAUUGAGAUGAAAGAAGUUGAUUAACACUAUUACAGCUGGCUGGAGUUAUUGCUUUAGUCAGUCAGGCUGCAAAAGGGCAGACCUCUGGGAGUAAAUGCGAUAAGCUACUGGACUACACAGAGUGCUAACUGGACAUUGAAUGGACUCCAUGACAUGAAGUCAAAAGGCAAUGUUGCCCUUUCUCUUGGUCCUUAUGGGAAACAUGGUAGUAUUGAUUAAAAAUACCACAUUUUCUUAGCAUUUACAUUAAAAACUACCAGCGCAAAUCCUCGUUACACAAUAGUUUCUUCAAAGGAAACUUUUCAGUCAACCACUAAUGGUGCAUUCACACCAGCCCUGUUUAGUCUGCAUUAAUCAAACUCCAGUCCAUUUGCCUGGAAAGUCCGGUUCGUUUGGGGAGGUGUGAAUCAAACUCCACAAAGCAAACUUUGAUCUGUCUACAAACUUCUGUGUUGUUUCAGUUAAAAUAAACUCUGGUGCAGUUCGAUACGCCAGGCGGACUGGAGACCGCUCCAAACGCAGGAAGCAGAGAAUUCUGGGACACCUCAUGUGUUGUUUCCAGAAAACCAGCGUAAUCUUGACAUUACAUCGAUGCCUUCAGCUGUCGUUAAGUGACGAUAAUCCCUGCGUGACAGCAACCUACCAAAGUUCAUCUUUCAACGCCGUCUGCUCCUCAAAAAUCACACAAAUCACACCUUCGCGCACAACCGUGGAGGACGAAGACACAGAGUGUGGGAGAACUGGAGCCUGAGCACCCAGGUGGCCCUUUGACGACGACGGUGGAGUCGGUUUAUGGAGGAGCGGCGCAGGAUAACUAGGGCAGCUAAAGAGGAGCGGCCUGGACAGGCAGGAAUAAUUAGGCGUCUGCUGCUCAGGAGAUACGGCGGCGGCGCGCCCUUCAAAAGGUCGGUGAAGGACGUGUCGGCGUACGGCUGCAAAAAGCAGGCAGAAAACGAGGACAGACAAAGCAGACGGAUCAGCAGAAACUCAGAACGAGGAAAGUUUUUCAUUUGAGCAGCUCUGGAUCAUCUCUGCAGAUGGGAUUUGGUUACUUCCUGUUUGGACUGGGCUUUCAGUGAGGGGGCGGCGGAGGAAGAAAAGUGUUAACAGGAAGAUGAGGGACAGAAAGGAGAAAAUAAACAAGAAUACGGUGCACAGCCAUCUGCCUGCUGACAGGUGAGGCGCCCCAACAGAAACAAACUGUGACGACAGCGAAGUGGCCGCUGCCACUGUUUACACCAGGAGUGUAAGGAUAAAUUCAGUGAACCUGAAUGUUUCUAUCGUGGAGUCAACCUACCAGACCUGAGACGAACAUAGAGGUUUCUGCUUCUCUGCUGUUAUAACGAAUCAACAAAUCGGCGUUCCGAUUGCAUGGAGGACACUGUAAAACGAAAGAGAAGCAGCAGCAGAAGCAGCUUAAAGAAUGCGUUCCAGACGACUCCGUUUCUCCGUGUUCGCUUUUGGACCUGGAAGUGUUUCUGGACAGUAGACGUUCGCUGCCAGGAGAAGUUUUACAGAUCGACCCGCAGAUAGAUCAUCUCUCACGAGGUCAAAGCAGCCAUUGUACAGCACAGAACCAGCUGACCAAACAUGCUGGAGCUCAACAAAGGAUGUUUCCCUGCAGCUGAUUCAUCGUUACCAUGGAGAUCAAUGAUCUAUCUUCUCUCAGUUUAAGGAGGCGAGCGUGACUUCGUGUUAGAGGCUGGAGUUCAACGGUUCAGGACGCCUUUCAGACGUUUUCCAGGGAAGGAUGCUCAGGGCGAUGACUAAAGCUUUCCUGGUGCAGGCAGGGACGGACCGUCAGGCGCUGAUGAAAACCUCAGCAGGAAAUUUUCUAGAAGUUGAGUUGGAAAUCUGAAGACGCAAGACGAGCAGAGUAAAAGUUUACGACAAGGCUCACCUGCUUCUCUGUGUCUCCAUGGAAACUCGUUUAGUUUACAUGAGUCCGCUGGACUCCAGUUGACGUGUUGCAUCCAUCUUCAGGUUGCUCCUGAAAGGCCUGGAUUGUCUCCCGACCCCGCAGCUGCAGAAAGCAGACGUUUAAUUGACAAGUAGUAAAGGUGAGACUCCGGUGUGGCCAGACGCCUGCAGCGAAUCAAGUCGGGGGAGUGGCAGGAGCCGCCGACGCUGGAGACCAUAAAGCCAAGAGCGGCUGCUCAGCGUCAGCGGAUGGGAACCGAUGAAACAAAUUCACGGUUGGGGAAAUGAGACAGCAUGUUAGAGCGUGGAAAGUCCCCUGGCUUAAAGAAGCACAAUGACAGAGUCUCAUUAAGCGAGUCGGAUGCGAGAUAAGGCGCCUGACGUCGGAGCCAACCUGAAAGCACCACCGUUUCUCCCGUACGUCAGCACAUGUUACUGAUCUGCCUCUCGUGUCAACAAAAAAAAGAGGAAAACUUGUGUAAAAUGGUAAUUAAAAUCACAAUGAAAAGAUA